GUGUUAAAUGCUGAAUUGCCUGUGAAUUGACGUCUACAUAUUCUUGAGGGUUUUGGUUCUUAAAUGAAUAAAGAAAACAAAUUUCCUGGGCGGGAAAGAAGCAGACAUACUUGCUGGUAAGAUGAGUAUGGUACAGUUGCAAGGGCGGGACCAGUUGCUGACAGCACAAAAUGAAAUGCUCAAGGUACUCUACUCUACUGCUUCAUCAUAUAUGUCUGCAAGUUUGGUUGGCAGUUUCCCUUAUUACAGAUGCGUUGGCUGCAUCUGGUCAGGCGUUGAUUGCUAGUUCGGUUUCAAAAGGGAAUUAUAGAUCUGUGAAGGAUAUCACAUACUUCGUGUUGAAUGUAAUGUUAAUUAAUAAUUAUUUUGUUUAUAUAAUAUAUAAAGAUGUUUUUAUUUUAUAAAAGUUAAUUAAUGUUUUAUUAUUUUCUUUAGAUUGGUUUUGUGAUGGGUGUUACUUUGGCUGCAAUAUUGGGAGUUUCAUUUGGUUCCAUAGUCACACUGUUCACUAAGGACAUUGGAGUAUUGGCGAUUGCUAGAACCGGGGUUUUGUUUGUGAGUGCUAGUCAGCCUUUGAAUGCUUUUGCUUUUAUUGUUGAUGGUUUGCAUUAUGGAGUUUCAGACUUCCCGUAUGCUGCUUAUUCCAUGGCCAAAACCAUUGCAUUUUGCAAUAGUUGAUGAACUUGAUUAUGUCCUAAUUGAUGAGGGAAGAAACCCAUUGUUGAUAAGGGGUGAGGUAUGUCUUCUUACUUU